rnacentral:siRNA from 1 species
UUAUAUUGUAGGUUCGAGCCCUAC